UACGAGGGGAGCUAGCGUUAUUCGGAAUUACUGGGCGUAAAGCGCACGCAGGCGGUUGGUUAAGUCAGAUGUGAAAGCCCCGGGCUCAACCUGGGAAUUGCAUUUGAAACUGGCCAACUAGAGUACGUGAGAGGGGGGUAGAAUUCCAAGUGUAGCGGUGAAAUGCGUAGAGAUUUGGAGGAAUACCAGUGGCGAAGGCGGCCCCCUGGCACGAUACUGACGCUCAGGUGCGAAAGCGUGGGGAGCAAACAGG
rnacentral:rRNA from 1 species